GGGGCCGCACGGCGCGACCGUUUCGAACCAGCCGUCGCCGACGGGUGUCAUCGGGAUCACCUGCUCGGUGUCGUCGUGCAGCUCGACGGCGGCCGCAC
rnacentral:tRNA from 1 species